UACGUAGGGGGCAAGCGUUGUCCGGAUUUAUUGGGCGUAAAGAGCUCGUAGGCGGCUGUCCACGUCGGGUGUGAAAGCUCAGAGCUCAACUCUGAGAUGCCAUUCGAUACGGGACGGCUAGAGGCAGGUAGGGGAGAUUGGAAUUCCUGGUGUAGCGGUGAAAUGCGCAGAUAUCAGGAGGAACACCGGUGGCGAAGGCGGAUCUCUGGGCCUUGCCUGACGCUGAGGAGCGAAAGCUGGGGGAGCGAACAGG
rnacentral:rRNA from 1 species